rnacentral:rRNA from 1 species
CAAUAGCGUAUAUUAAAGUUGUUGCAGUUAAAAAGUUCGUAGUUGGAUUUGUGGCGUACGGUGUGUUCCGGGCACUUGUUGUCUGAGUAACCUGCUGUUGCCAUCCUUGGGUGGAACCUGUGUGGCAUUAGGUUGUCGUGCAGGGGAUGCCCAUCAUUUACUGUGAAAAAAUUAGAGUGUUCAAAGCAGGCUUAUGCCGUUGAAUAUAUUAGCAUGGAAUAAUGAGAUAGGACUUUUUUGCUAUUUUGUUGGUUUGCGCAAAGAGGUAAUGAUUAAUAGGGACAGUUGGGGGUGUUCGUAUUCCAUUGUCAGAGGUGAAAUUCUUGGGUUUUUGGAAGACGAACUACUGCGAAAGCAUUUACCAAGGAUGUUUUCAUUAA